GGAUCCUAUAACUUCGACCAGGGCUACACACGUGCUACAAUGGCGCAUACAAAGAGAAGCAAUCUCGCGAGAGCUAGCGGACCUCAUAAAGUGCGUCGUAGUCCGGAUUGGAGUCUGCAACUCGACUCCAUGAAGUCGGAAUCGCUAGUAAUCGUGAAUCAGAAUGUCACGGUGAAUACGUUCCCGGGCCUUGUACACACCGCCCGUCACACCAUGGGAGUGGGUUGCAAAAGAAGUAGGUAGCUUAACCUUCGGGAGGGCGCUUACCACUUUGUGAUUCAUGACUGGGGUGAAGUCGUAACAAGGUAACCGUAGGGGAACCUGCGGUUGGAUCACCUCCAA
rnacentral:rRNA from 1 species